rnacentral:snRNA from 1 species
GUGCUCACUUCGGCAGCACAUAUACUAAAAUUGGAAUGAUACAGAGAAGAUUAGCAUGGCCCCUGUGCAAGGAUAACAGGCGAAUUUGUGAAGCAUUCCAUAUUUUU